AUACCUACACAAGUAUUUCCACAGCAACAUCUGAGAGACACGUAAAAACGUAGGAAAGAGAAAUUAGUUAUCUGUUUCUGGUGUUGAAACUCAGCUCUGCUAUCUAGUGACCUGGAGCACUUCCGUUGUGGAAUCCCCUCCAUUGUGUUUUCCUAUUUGUGGCGCGUUUCUGUUGGGUAUGGAGGACUAAAAGUGCCAAAAUUAAAUAAAUAAAUACAUCAUUAAAUAAUUAAUUAAAUGUCAUUAAUUAAUUAAAAUUUGAAUUAAAUAUUUCAUUAAUUAAUUAAAAUUGGAAUUAAAUACAUAAAUGUGUUAUUAAAUAUGUCAUUAAUUCAUUAAAAUACCAAUUCAUUUUAAGUAAAAAACAUAUUUUAUUAUUUCACUAUUUAAUUAAUUAUUUCAUGGUCCUUGUGUUGCAGUGGAUCAUGAAUUUAUUUUAUCUGUCAACCUCACCGUCAAAGUCGGUCGGCGGAUCCUAACACCUGAUUGGUUACCCUGCACAUCAAGUCAAGGCAAAUCGAUUCCAGAUAAUGGAUUGAUGCAGAGCUUGUGAACACAUUCCGAUACACUGGGUGGCGCUAUUCACCUCUACGUUGGUUUGGAUACUCAAUAAAACUUUAUUAGCAACCGCUAAAGACUCGGUACUCUUUCCCAAAUGUUGAUACAUGCGGUGCAAGACAAAAUUUCCUUUAGCACCUACUCGGCGCGCCACGGCUCGUCUCGGUUUAGUUGUUUUUCCAUCACAUUGAGUACCACCUCAUCGUGGGUUGAGUCGUCAUAGCACGGCGGCCCGAAAGUCCCUUACCGUCAUUUCUGUGCCACACAAACGCAAUGCAACAAUGUACAUGGAGGCGAUAGUACACCUGCUGCUCGGUCUGUGGCUUUCUGUCAGAUUCAGCGUAAUAGAAGAGUCGGAGAAAGCUGAGAGCGGCGAAUCGAAACACUGAGGAGACACAGGAGAGUUUGGGAGGCGAUGCAGCAGCAUCAAGCCGAAGACAAGAGGAUAUGAACGAGACGACAUAUGAGGAUGGCUCUCUUAUGAGACUUCAUGGGAUUUACCUGAAGCAGCAGCACAUGAGCCUGCAGUGGCACAAGGUGUAGAGGAGGAGGGCAGAGAUGUACAGGAUGCACUGAUGCAGUACGUGUCAUGCAAAGUUAUUCUUCUUGUUAUACUUCUGUUUUUCGGUCCCCGGACCGCUAUUGUUUUCUUUAAUGCAAUUCUGACAAUAAACUUUUGUAGAUGUGUCUA